rnacentral:rRNA from 1 species
AGUGAACGCUGGCGGUAGGCCUAACACAUGCAAGUCGAACGGCAGCACAGUAAGAGAUUGCCGUUCCGGGUGGCGAGUGGCGGACGGGUGCGGAAUACAUCGGAACCUACAUUUUCGUGGGGGAUAACGAAGGGAAACUUACGGUAGCACCGCAUACGACCUGCGGGUGAAAGCAGGGGCUCUUCGGGGCCUGCGCGAUUGGGGGGGCCGGUGUCGGAUCAGCUAGUUGGUGGGGUAGAGGCCCACCAAGGCGACGAUCCGGAGCUGGUCCGAGAGGCGGAUCGGCCAAACUGGGACUGAGCCACGGCCAAGACUCCUGCGGGAGGCAGCAGUGGGGAAUUUUCCGCAAUGGGCGAAAGCCUGACGGAGCAAUGCGGCGUGGAGGUAGAAGGCCCACGGGUCGUGAACUUCUUUUCUCGGAGAAGAAACAAUGACGGUAUCUGAGGAAUAAGCAUCGGCUAACUCUGUG